rnacentral:rRNA from 1 species
UACGAAGGGGGCUAGCGUUGCUCGGAAUCACUGGGCGUAAAGCGCACGUAGGCGGCUUUUAAGUCAGGGGUGAAAUCCUGGAGCUCAACUCCAGAACUGCCUUUGAUACUGAGAAGCUUGAGUCCGGGAGAGUGAGUGGAACUGCGAGUGUAGAGGUGAAAUUCGUAGAUAUUCGCAAGAACACCAGUGGCGAAGGCGGCUCACUGGCCCGGUACUGACGCUGAGGUGCGAAAGCUAGGGAGCAACAGG